rnacentral:rRNA from 1 species
AUACAGAGGGUGCAAGCGUUAAUCGGAAUUACUGGGCGUAAAGGGUUCGUAGGCGGUUAUUUAAGUCAGAUGUGAAAGCCCCGGGCUCAACCUGGGAAUUGCAUCUGAUACUGGGUAACUAGAGUUUAAGAGAGGAGUGUGGAAUUUCCGGUGUAGCGGUGAAAUGCAUAGAGAUCGGAAGGAACAUCAGUGGCGAAGGCGGCACUCUGGCUUAAAACUGACGCUGAGGAACGAAAGCGUGGGUAGCAAACAGGAUUAGAAACCCCAGUAGUCC